AGAUGUUAUGGAUAGCUUUGCCACACUAGAAACCCAUCACCACACCACAAACCAGAAAAACGAAAUGAAAGGAGAAAACUUACAUUCAGUGGUGUCGUGCAAAGGAAGAGGGGGAAAAAGGUGGCAUGAAGGUGGAGAAGGAGGUCAUUUAGGAGGUGGUUGUCGUUGUGCUUCUAGGGUGAAGGAGGUGUUAGAAUGGGAUGCACACAAAUGAGAUUGAAGGAGGUGCUAGGGUUGGGGAAGGGAGGUGCUCACUCACAUAACUCAUUAAGGGUACUUUGCUCUUUUCAAAAUUUUUGGGAGGUGCAGAUCACAAUAUGGAUAAUGUAGGAAACAAAUGUCUUACCCGCUUUGUCCCUUUUUGACGGUUCCAACGCCCAUUUCUCACCCCCUUAGGAAAGUUGAAACAUUCGAUUUGGAUAAAAAUGCCCCACAUCCCUAACACCACUUUUUAGAUUCCUUCCUCCCUUUCUCUUCUUCGUCCGGCGACGCCACUUACCUCUUCACUGCCACCAACCCCAACAAGGUCGGGAUCAGGUACGAGCCAGUCCAACUUCACCAUCAUGUACCGCGAGUCCGCGACAUCACAGAGAAAACCACACCUCACACAAUGCUGAAAUCGCUUCACCCCAUUUCACAACGCUAAAAUCACAAUCGAUGGUAAUCACUAAUCAGAGGUGCUCGUGGCUCGAUCAAAAUUUGGCGUCAUGGCAUUUCAAGCUUCUAGCUCUCAAGUCUCAAAAAUCAAGAACCUCGAAGCCCUUUCACUGAAACUGAGGAUGAUAGCUCAGCAGAUCAAAGAUUAUCCCAGGAAAAUGGGACUUUGAGUAAAGUAGAUUCUCAACCUCCCUUUGCAGAUCUCUUUGGUGAUAUCUUGGGUCCAUUGGCUAUUGAAGGCCCUCCCUGUAGCAGUGUCCACCCUCAGCCAAGCUCAAAUUCAGGAUUGGAAGGAACUGUAAUUGAAGCCACAGCCAUAGUACCUGCUGGAGAACUGGCCAAUUCUGUGCAGUCCCGGGAACACAAGAUUGGAAAGCUCCCAAAAGUUUUGGCAGGAUGGGGUAUAAUUCAUGAACGUUUUGAUCUCUGCAAUCAACGUCUUGAUGGAGAGGGUGGAGUUUGUUUUGACAAUUGAUUGGAUGAUCUGUGCUAUGACAUGUUUGUCGAGUUGCCGAUGAUCUUGUAUGAGCAUUGGCGCGAGACAAGUGUGAUGAUCUCUGAUACUAUUGAUAAUUAAUUUGUUAUGCCUCUUUGAAUUGCAUGCGCCUAAGCUCCAUGUACAACCAUUUUCAUAUAAUUUACACACAAAGUUUAGCCUUCUCUAGUUAGAGUAAAUUAUUCUGCAAUCAAAAUGAUUUUUGAUGUUGUAUUCUUUGACUGCUCGAAAAUAUUGUGCUUUUUCA